AUGAACGCUAGCUACAGGCUUAACACAUGCAAGUCGAGGGGCAGCAUUUUAGUUUGCUUGCAAACUGAAGAUGGCGACCGGCGCACGGGUGAGUAACACGUAUCCAACCUGCCGAUAACUCCGGAAUAGCCUUUCGAAAGAAAGAUUAAUACCGGAUGGCAUACGAAUAUCGCAUGAUAUUUUUAUUAAAGAAUUUCGGUUAUCGAUGGGGAUGCGUUCCAUUAGUUUGUUGGCGGGGUAACGGCCCACCAAGACUACGAUGGAUAGGGGUUCUGAGAGGAAGGUCCCCCACAUUGGAACUGAGACACGGUCCAAACUCCUACGGGAGGCAGCAGUGAGGAAUAUUGGUCAAUGGGCGCGAGCCUGAACCAGCCAAGUAGCGUGAAGGAUGAAGGCUCUAUGGGUCGUAAACUUCUUUUAUAUGGGAAUAAAGUUUUCCACGUGUGGAAUUUUGUAUGUACCAUAUGAAUAAGGAUCGGCUAACUCCGUGCCAGCAGCCGCGGUAAUACGGAGGAUCCGAGCGUUAUCCGGAUUUAUUGGGUUUAAAGGGAGCGUAGGUGGAUUGUUAAGUCAGUUGUGAAAGUUUGCGGCUCAACCGUAAAAUUGCAGUUGAAACUGGCAGUCUUGAGUACAGUAGAGGUGGGCGGAAUUCGUGGUGUAGCGGUGAAAUGCUUAGAUAUCACGAAGAACUCCGAUUGCGAAGGCAGCUCACUAGACUGUCACUGACACUGAUGCUCGAAAGUGUGGGUAUCAAACAGGAUUAGAUACCCUGGUAGUCCACACAGUAAACGAUGAAUACUCGCUGUUUGCGAUAUACAGUAAGCGGCCAAGCGAAAGCAUUAAGUAUUCCACCUGGGGAGUACGCCGGCAACGGUGAAACUCAAAGGAAUUGACGGGGGCCCGCACAAGCGGUGGAGUAUGUGGUUUAAUUCGAAGCAACGCGAAGAACCUUACCAGGGCUUGACAUCCUACUAACGAAGUAGAGAUACAUUAGGUGCCCUUCGGGGAAAGUAGAGACAGGUGGUGCAUGGUUGUCGUCAGCUCGUGUCGUGAGAUGUUGGGUUAAGUCCCGCAACGAGCGCAACCCUUAUGGUCAGUUACUACGCAAGAGGACUCUGGCCAGACUGCCGUUGACAAAACGGAGGAAGGUGGGGAUGACGUCAAAUCAUCAUGCCCUUUAUGUCCUGGGCUACACACGUACUACAAUGGGUGUCAACAAAGAGAAGCGAACCCGCGAGGGAGAGCAAAGCUCAAAAACACACCCCCAGUUCAGAUCGCAGGCUGCAACCCGCCUGCGUGAAGUAGGAAUCGCUAGUAAUCGCGGGUCAGCAUACCGCGGUGAAUACGUUCCCGGGCCUUGUACACACCGCCCGUCACACCAUGGGAGUCAGUAACGCCCGAAGUCAGUGACCCAACCGUAAGGAGGGAGCUGCCGAAGGCGGGACUGAUAACUGGGGUG
rnacentral:rRNA from 1 species